CGUUCGGAUUGCAGUCUGCAACUCGAGUGCAUGAAGCUGGAAUCGCUAGUAAUCGCGAAUCAGAAUGUCGCGGUGAAUACGUUCCCGGGUCUUGUACACACCGCCCGUCACACCAUGGGAGUCGGGAAUGCCCGAAGCCGGUGACCCAACCUUAGGGAGGGAGCCGUCGAAGGCAGGCCUGGUAACUGGGGUGAAGUCGUAACAAGGUAAC
rnacentral:rRNA from 1 species